AUGCCACGCUUGACGUCUACAACCCUUUUGAGACCCAGGAGCCACCGCCAGCCUAUCUAUCUGCGCCGUCAGAAGGGCCGGCGGAUUCGGGAGCUGACUGCUGUAGUUCAGAAGAGGUUUGGCUUUCCAGAGGGCAGUGUAGAGCUUUAUGCUGAAAAGGUGCCACUAGAGGUCUGUGCACAAUUGCUCAGGCAGUACCUGCAUCACAAACUCCUGGGAGGGCUUGCUGUGCGCAGGGCCUGCUAUGGUGUGCUGCAGUUCAUCAUGGAGAGCGGGGCCAAAGGCUGCGAGGUCGUGGUGUCUGGGAAACUCCGAGGACAGAGGGCUAAAUCCAUGAAGUUUGUGGAUGGCCCGAUGAUCCACAGCGGAGACCCUGUUAACUAUUACGUUGACACUGCCAUGCGCCAUGUGUUGCUCAGACAGGGUGUGCGGGGCAUCAAGGUGAAGGUCAUGCUGCCCUGGGACCCAACUGGUAAGACUGGCCCUAGGAAGCCCUUGUGAGCAUCGUGGAACCCAAAGAUGAGAUACUGCCUACCACCCCCAUCUCAGAACAGAAGGGUGGGAAGCCAGAGCCGCCUGCCAUGCCCCAGCCAGUCCCCACAGCGUAACAGGGUCUCCUUGGCAGCUGCAUUCUGGAGUCUGGAUGUUGCUCUGUAAUGACCUUUAAUAAAAUAUUGUACAAA